AACUGCGAGUGAAGCGGGAAAAGCUCAAAUUUAAAAUCUGGCGGUCUUUGGCCGUCCGAGUUGUAAUUUAGAGAAGCGUCUUCCGCGCCGGACCGUGCACAAGUCUCCUGGAAUGGAGCGUCAUAGAGGGUGAGAAUCCCGUCUUUGGCACGGACGCCCGGUGCUUCUGCGAUGCGCUCUCGAAGAGUCGAGUUGUUUGGGAAUGCAGCUCAAAAUGGGUGGUGAACUCCAUCUAAAGCUAAAUAUUGGCGAGAGACCGAUAGCGAACAAGUACCGUGAGGGAAAGAUGAAAAGCACUUUGGAAAGAGAGUGAAACAGUACGUGAAAUUGUUGAAAGGGAAACGCUUGAAGUCAGUCGCGUCGACCGAGACUCAGCCUCGCCUUGGCUUGGUGUACUUCUCGGCCCGACGGGUCAGCGUCAAUUUUACCCCUCGGAUAAUGGCAAGGGAAAGGUGGCACCUUUACGGGUGUGUUAUAGUCUCCUGUCGCAUGCGAGGGGUGGGAUUGAGGAACUCAGCGCGCACCUCGGUGUCGGGGCUUCU
rnacentral:rRNA from 1 species